AUGGAGCUUAAAACUUAUGCCAUUGCCCACUUAACCAUACCACACUCGGGCAAAUAUGACUACUAGUCUUUCAGCUGGGGCGGCUACGGAGAAAAAUCUAACCUCCACGAUGAACGGAAUUCCUCCUAAUUAAAGAGCCACCACUCUAAAAAUCAAUAAUUUGACAUAAAUUGACCCAAUACCUUGAUCAACGAACCAAGUUACCCUGGGGAUAACAGCGCAAUCCAUUUCAAGAGACCCCAUCGACAAAUG
rnacentral:rRNA from 1 species